rnacentral:rRNA from 1 species
UACGAAGGGGGCGAGCGUUGUUCGGAUUUACUGGGCGUAAAGGGCGCGCAGGCGGUUCUGUUUGUCGAGUGUGAAAGCCCCGGGCUCAACCUGGGAACUGCGCUCGAAACGGCAGAACUAGAGUUCGGGAGAGGAGAGUGGAAUUCCCAGUGUAGAGGUGAAAUUCGUAGAUAUUGGGAAGAACACCGGUGGCGAAGGCGGGUCUCUGGGCCGAAACUGACGCUGAGGAGCGAAAGCGUGGGGAGCGAACAGG